GAAAAACCGUUGAUGUGGAGAUCAAGAUCAUUGUGCGCGCACAGAGAGUUGCCGUUGCUGAGAGUGCAAUCGAACGCAGAUGAUUAAAUGGACCACGGAGGGUUCUCCCGAAAGUUCGCGAGUACGGGGAAACGUCAGGCAUACGUCAGUUGUCGGAGGGAUGUUGGUCCCUCGCUAAGCGUGAUCAAUCGGACUCUUUUUAGACAAUUAAGUUAGACUAUUUGUCGAAGACUCGAGCGAUCAAACUAAGGUGGCACCGCGGAAAAUCCGUCCUUAAC
rnacentral:ncRNA from 1 species